CCUACGGGGGGCAGCAGUAGGGAAUCUUUCACAAUGGGCGAAAGCCUGAUGGAGCAACGCCGCGUGCAGGAUGAAGGCCUUCGGGUUGUAAACUGCUUUUAUAAGCGAGAAAUAUGAUGGUACCUUAUGAAUAAGGAUCGGCUAACUACGGGCCAGCAGCCGCGGUCAUACGUAGGAUCCGAGCAUUAUCCGGAGUGACUGGGUGUAAAGAGUUGCGUAGGUGGCAUAAUAAGUAGCUAGUGAAAUCUGGUGGCUUAACCAUUCAGACUAUUAGCUAAACUGUUAAGCUCGAGACCGUUAGGGGUAACUGGAAUUUCUAGUGUAGGAGUGAAAUCCGUAGAUAUUAGAAGGAACACCAAUAGCGUAGGCAGGUUGCUGGGACGGUUCUGACACUAAGGCACGAAAGCGUAGGGAGCAAACGGGAUUAGAUACCCUUGUAGUC
rnacentral:rRNA from 1 species